rnacentral:rRNA from 1 species
CCACGCCGUAAACGAUGUCGACCAGCCGUUGGGUGCCUAGCGCACUUUGUGGCGAAGUUAACGCGAUAAGUCGACCGCCUGGGGAGUACGGCCGCAAGGUUAAAACUCAAAUGAAUUGACGGGGGCCCGCACAAGCGGUGGAGCAUGUGGUUUAAUUCGAUGCAACGCGAAGAACCUUACCUACUCUUGACAUCCUGCGAACUUGUGAGAGAUCACUUGGUGCCUUCGGGAGCGCAGAGACAGGUGCUGCAUGGCUGUCGUCAGCUCGUGUUGUGAAAUGUUGGGUUAAGUCCCGUAACGAGCGCAACCCUUGUCCUUAUUUGCCAGCGGGUAAUGCCGGGAACUCUAAGGAGACUGCCGGUGACAAACCGGAGGAAGGUGGGGACGACGUCAAGUCAUCAUGGCCCUUACGAGUAGGGCUACACACGUGCUACAAUGGCCGGUACAAAGGGUUGCGAGCUCGCGAGAGUCAGCUAAUCCCGAAAAGCCGGUCUCAGUCCGGAUCGGAGUCUGCAACUCGACUCCGUGAAGUCGGAAUCGCUAGUAAUCGUGAAUCAGAAUGUCACGGUGAAUACGUUCCCGGGCCUUGUACACACCGCCCGU